AUUGAACGCUGGCGGCAGGCCUAACACAUGCAAGUCGAACGGUAACAGGAAGCAGCUUGCUGCUUUCCUGUCGAGUGGCGGGCGGGUGCGUGAUGUCUGGGAAACUGCCCGAUGGAGGGGGAUAACUACUGGAAACGGUUGCUAUUAUCGCACAACGUCGCAAGACCACAGAGGGGGACCUUAUGGGCUCUUGCCCUAGGAAGUGCCCAGAUGGGAUUUGCUAGUGGUUGGGGUAAAGGCUCACCUAGGCGACGAUCCCUAGCUGGUGUGAGAGGAUGACCAGCCACACUGGAACUGAGACACGGUCCAGACUCCUACGGGAGGCAGCAGUGGGGAAUAUUGCACAAUGGGCGCAAGCCUGAUGCAGCCAUGCCGCGUGUAUGAAGAAGGCCUUCGGGUUGUAAAGUACUUUCAGCGGGGAGGAAGGGAAUAAAGUUAAUACCUUUGCGCAUUGACGUUACCCGCAGAAGAAGCACCGGCUAACUCCGUG
rnacentral:rRNA from 1 species